UGCGGUGACUCCACCCUCCUUUUCAAGAAACAGGCAAUCAUCUUGGAAUGUUACAACACCGGAACGGGAGAAACACGACUGUAAAUCUAACAUUUCAUUGGCUGUAAAAUUGUUCUUAUACUCAGAUAUAGAACACAGCUUGUGCAGAAGGAUCGUUGCGGCUAGCCUCUACCCCUUCUGUAUCAGGAAAUCCUGGCUGACUUGGAGCAGGAGGAUUUUGUCCUGACACCACUGGUGCGGUGGGAGAACCCUCAUGGAGAAUCAUUCUUUUCUUCUACCUGGAUGUUUGACCCUUGGCAAGGAGCUGGUUGAGCUCUCCUGGGAGGCAUGAAAAGGAUGAAGAGGAAAAACAAAAAAAGGAAGAGGAG